UACGUAGGGUGCAAGCGUUAAUCGGAAUUACUGGGCGUAAAGCGUGCGCAGGCGGCUUUGCAAGACAGAUGUGAAAUCCCCGGGCUCAACCUGGGAACUGCAUUUGUGACUGCAAGGCUAGAGUACGGUAGAGGGGGAUGGAAUUCCGCGUGUAGCAGUGAAAUGCGUAGAUAUGCGGAGGAACACCGAUGGCGAAGGCAAUCCCCUGGGCUAACACUGACGCUCAGGCACGAAAGCGUGGGGAGCAAACAGG
rnacentral:rRNA from 1 species